GAGAAACGCAAACAUUGGUGAGAAUUCAAUGCCCUGAAAACCUAAGGGUUCCUCCGCAAGGUUCAUCCACGGAAGGUGAGUCAGGGCCUAAGAUCAGGCCGUAAGGCAUAGUCGAUGGACAACAUGUGAAUAUUCCUGUACUGCCCCUUGUUAGUCCCGAGGGACGGAGGAGGGUAUGUUAGCCUAAAGAUGGUUAUCAGUUCAAGAACGUAAGGUGUCCAUGCUUUAUGAAGAUAAGAAGGGGUAGAGAAAAUGCCUCGAGCCAAUGUUCGAAUACUAGGCGCUAUAGCGCUGAAGUAACCCAUGCCAUACUCCCAGAAAAAGUUCGAACGACUUUGAGCAAGAGGCUACCUGUACCCGAAACUGACACAAGUGGGUAGGUAGAGAAUACUUAGGGGGGCGAGACAACUCUCUCGAAGGAACUCGCAAAAAUAGCCCCGUAACUUCAGGAGAAGGGGUGCCUCCUCAAAGGGGGUCGCACUGAUCAGGCCCGGGUGACUGUUUAACAAAAAUACAGGUCUCCGCAAAGUCGUAAGAUAGUACUCGAUUUCAUUACAUGCACCAGGGGCAAUCGAAAAAACCAACAUUUCUUGGAAUACUAGCUAUAA
rfam:Nicotiana attenuata strain TT chromosome 2, whole genome shotgun sequence.